AGAAGAGAGAAAGAGAGAGAGAGAGAGAAUGAGUGAGUGAGCGAGAAUUAGAAGGUGGUAGCAUAUUAAUAUGUAAGCGUUGCAGUAACACGUUGUUUCUCUUUAUUUUACACCACACUUUUUACCGCACUCAACGAAAAGCUUGUUUCGGCUGUUUUACCGGAUGAAGGUGGGUGGUCGGGAGGGGAGAGGGGUAGAGAACUGACCCAUUAGAAGGACAUUAGGCUAGUAAAUAGGCGGUAUGAUUAAUGGCGGGUCGAUUUGAACACAAGCGCGUGGAAAUCGACAGGUGGAGCGCGCCAAGUUCUGCCUGCUCGCCCAGCCAGCCAAUCUUCACGCUUAGUAAAGAGGCACUCACGAGAGCAACAGUAGUGGUAGUUCAUACUAGCUAGUUCUCACAUACACCGAACUUGUACAGCAAACGAUCGCCACUUCGACUUUGCUGACGGCUCAACACAGCGCAGCACUAUGACUAUGAAUCUGUUGCCGAUUGGUGCCUGCAACCGCUUGCUAACAGGUUGCUAACAAGCCUGACCAUCGAUUUACAUUAACAAAAAAAGGCUGGGAAAGGCAAACGGAACGAGUGGUUUCGAGAAGAUCGACUAGGAAAAGGGCAGAAACUGUCAAUUCAUGCAAUGACUUUACGGAUUUUGGCAGUUUGUGGGGCUGUGGGAUCCGUAGCUUUUGCCGGCGAUGAAUGCAGACGUCUCAAUAGACGCAACAGGGUUUCGAUUAUCUGCUCGAACAGCAAAAUACAACAAGGUUGGCACUUAAGCUUACGCAGACACGCGCAAAACACGAUCAAAACCUAGUCGCGCAAUCAAUAUGCUGUUUCUGCAAUGCUACUUCUCCAGCAAUGUAAACAGCGUGAGCAAUUGGAAGAGAAGCGUCCGAGCCAGAACGCGUUUUAAUUUGUAUUUACAUAGUUCCGCACAAAAGUCCUUAGGUUUCUUUCAAUUAGGUGCGUGUGGCAUCUCUCGGGCGGGCUGCUGCUCGUACACUUGUGAUUGAUUCGGUAAGGUGCAAAGAGCUGAUGGAAAGAGAUGAAGAGAUCGCCCAUCCCACGAUCCAGCAUUGGAAGCAGUAAAAGAACCUUCAAUAUCUUCGGCCCUGAAGGACUGAUAGUCGGCGGCAAAUAGGCAGCUGCUGCUGCGUAUCUCUGUUACCGAGCAUUUAUUUACCUUUCUGAGAGAUGCUCUACGCAACCAUACGUUCAUACACACACACACACGCGCACACGCACUCGUUCAUACACUCACAGCAGAGACAUCCAUUUUACGUGUGCUUUUAAUACUCGAUGCGAAAUUAAUACACUUAUACCGACUCUGUUUCCGAUGAUAAAUUGGGUCCCGAAAUCUAACCGUGUAGGGUCUCCCUUUUCCUCUUCCUAUCUUUCCCGUCUCUUAAUAAGUGUCUCCUGGUGAGUUGGUGGUGGGUGGCAUUGGAGGAGGCAUGAGGUAAUUAUUGACGAACAAUCGUCAGCUUGUGCUUGUAGGGUCUGCACAGUAUUAGCGAGAGAGAGGGAGAGAGCGUGAGUUUCGGAGGGCGAGAGAGACAAAGAGAGAGAGAGAGGGAGAGAGUGCGAGCAGACACGCUCGGUAGGCAUCGGUGGUAUGAAUGUGGAGUCGUGCCUUGGAAAUUGCGCAAUGUCAUCAGUGUUUCGAGUUAGUUUGCGCUACCAGUGUUGUAGAAAAGUAGAAAUCAAUAUUCUAUUCCACCUCCACAAUUGCUCCUCUAUGUCCGUUCCUGCUGCCGUGCUACAACCGUUUGGGGCGGUGUAGAGAACGCAACCAACAGGCGACCACCGAAUUGGCUGCGAGUUGUUCCUUUUUUGGGAAAUGCAGAGAGCCGCAGCGAACAACGUUUUGGCGCUUUUUCCAGUUGGUCGAGCUGCGGCUAGGUUUCCGCUACAAAUGCGAAGCAUUUCACGGUGGCAAAUUUUUGACGCACUUCAUAGAAAAACACUCCAAAUUCCAGGUUCGGAAUCAUUAAGCAGUAAUUAAUUUUUAUUGAUUAUCUUAUUUCUAUCGAAAAGUCUCGUGCUUUCUAUCGAGAAAUUGCUUAAUAUCAAUAUCAAUUGAGGUUGUCGGCAAUAAGGCAAGAAGUUGGAGCAUUUUGAUGGAAAUAAAGAUGCGAAUAGUCUUUUAUAACAGGUUGGCUGAAAAGUCCCCGGUCUAACAAAGAAAAACACAUUUGUUUGUCAAAAUUCGUUUUUAUUAUUCAACAUAGUUCCCUUCAAGAGCGAUACAACGAUUAUAACGACCUUCCAAUUUUUUGAUACCAUUUUGGUAGUACUCCUUCGGUUUUGCCUCAAAAUAGGCCUCAAUUUCGGCGACCACCUCUUCAUUGCAGCCAAUUUUUUUCCCUGUGAGCAUCCUUUUGAGGUCUGAGAACAAGAAAAAGUCGCUGGGGGCCAGACCUGGAGAAUACGGUGGGUGGGGAAGCAAUUCGAAGCCCAAUUCAUGAAUUGUUGCCAUCGUUCUCAAUGACUUGUGGCACGGUGCGUUGUCUUGGUGGAACAAAAACAAAAUAACAAAAGUUGCUUGACAAAAGACGCUCUGUCUCACAAACUAAUUGACCUACAGACGUCAAAUUUUGACACGAAUCAUUUGAAGGUUGGUACUAUAUAAAAAUAAUAUGCAUUUAAUACUAGCGGCGCCAUCUAUGUGUCAGACCGGGGACUUAUCAGCCAACCUGUUAACUACCUAAAUAUAUCUAGUUACACAAUCAGAGUAGCAAGCUAUCAUCAGUUAACGAUCAGUUACUGCUGUAAGAAAGUCAUGAUGAAAUGUCUAUCUCCAAAUUGAAUGUUAUCACCAUUACAUCUAUGUAAAGGGCAAUAAUUAAACUAAUUUAAUUUGCUCACAUACGCUUAAAACCAAUUUAAUAUACUGAUACAAAUGUUGCGCAAUAUAGGACAUUCAAACAAAGCUCGUUGAUGGUUGUUUUCACACAUCAAAAAAUGCGUAUCACUUCCCCAACACUCUAAAAUUCAUUUCUCAGUACUAAUUUCUGAAACUGAGCCGUCCUACUUGAGUGGCGGCCUAACAACCCCACACACUUCCUACGUGAACACAAAACAAGCAGUUACACGCAAGUGAAAUAGAGAAAUGAUUAAUCAAAUGAUGAGAAGGUUUCCUGCCAAUCAUCUCCCUCUAGCAACAGUACCGCAUUGGAAUCGUUUUAAUUCUGCACUAAUGAACUCAACCCGGGCCCACAGUAUCAUCCUCCAUGUGCGGUUUGACAAAUGUGGGAAGGAAAAAGGCUUAACAGAUCAUGCGUUGUGCAUAAAAGCUUAUAAUUCACCAGCGAAUUUUUAAUGCGUGGCGAAUUGGUUUCGUUAAAUCGGUAAUCCUCGGUUCCACUUGCUUUAAAUGGCGUGCCAUAAUGAUGCAACUAAUUGGUUUUAUUUUCAACACAAAAUAAUCAUCAUGUUCAGACAACUCUCUAUUGCUGAUGCUCCAUCCAGCUAAAAGCCUUUUCCUCACGAUGAGUGACUGUGAAGUUCCUCAGACAUCUGUCGGAUGGAGUCAAAUCAUAUAGAAGCAGAAUCAAAACAACACCAAAACACGUGAGUUUCGUCUAGACACAAAAGAGCGGAGUAAAUAUCUGCUGAAGUUUGAAAUUUCAAACCAUACCGCUAACUCCGGCAGCAGCGCGGAUGGCAUGAAAUGAGACCGACUGGGCGUUGAAAAUACUCGUGGAAGAGGGAGAAAUCUUCCAACCUCCCCCAAACUACCCAGGUUCUCACGAGUUACCCUACAAACCGGUGCAAAAUAAAACGAAACUAUCGGCGAAUUGCACUCAUUCCCUAGUUCCCCUGGGGUACAGGGGGCAAAUGGGAACGACGGCGGAACGAUGCGGUUUGCGGAGUGUUUGUUUGCGAUUACUUCCCCCUCGCAUGCACACCGGCACCGAGUGAUGGGGGUGCAAUUGGUGCAUGGCCGGCCAGUGCCGGCCCACUCCACACUAAUGCGCGGUGGAACCAUCUUUGUUUGGAUAGACGGCAACAUUGUUGCACUGGCGACGGCCUAUAAGUUUCUGUGCCUGCCUGCCGUCCUCUCGCUUCUCGAAUCUCGUCCCGCCAAUUACGACCGAGUAGAGGCUACCGUCAUAGUGGCACGCGGCACGGCACGAGCGAAAUACGACAACGUAUGGAACCGACACAGCCAUUACUUCUUCCCUAAUACUGUUCUUGGGGAUGCGGCGGCACACACAUUAAGCGCCUCAUUUUGUCAUAUUCUCAGCCACGGGACACACCCGCCGGCGUCCGGUUACGCGGUGCAUGCAAUCGGAGCACAAACAUUCGACACCGGCCGCAGUCGCGGCGUGAUCUGGUUCGUAAAACUAUUGCAAAAAGGAGGACAAGGUCAACCCCUUUUUGCCAAGCGCCCACCGCGGCCCUGUCUGGACGGUGUGACACAUUCGGUCCAGAAUUAGGUCGAAGAAACAAGAAUCGCUCUCGAGCAGGCCACACAUUGAAUCUACUUGAUGGACAGCUAGGAAAAGACGGAGAAGUAAUGAGUGUGAGAAAAGAAAAGAAAAACAAAGCCCGCCCGCGCGUCCUUCGAUGAAUACGAUUCGCUUAUUUUUAGCCUCUCCCUUUUGCCACCCAUUUCCCCACGAUGCACGGAAAACAGAGAUCCUGAAAUAAGAACCAAAUCUGCAUCUGCAUCUUCCUACGCUAUAUUUAUACGCUGUGCUGGCUGUGAUGUGUGUGUGUGUGUGUUUUUUGCUCCCGCCAUUCUCGCGCAACACACAAGCAUUUCAUCACGAACUAACAGCGCUAAACAUCCGCGAAAGGCGGUCAGUGCCGAACGGUGAAGAGUAAGCAACAACUAUUACUGGUACGCUGCGAGGGAAGGUCUGUUUUGGGAGCUUGAACGCUCAGGCUUUUCUUUGGUUGCGGAAAUGUCCGACUUUCGCGAAACCAAACGCAGCAGUGCUGGCGCUGUGUUUAUGCUGGCACCAUGCAGCGAGGAUGGAAAUAUUUUGCCAAGGAAUGAAUUUUCAAGGCGAAUGAAUCGUAUUACAAUGUAGCGGUUGAAGGAAAAUGUGGUAUUAAAGAUAUAUAAAAGUUGUAGAAUAAACAAAAAAGUUUUAUUGUCGGUAGAACUUUUUAAACACUAUUUACAUCCAUGAAUUUCACGAAAACCAAACUGUUAAAUACAAACCAAGCUAUAACGCUGGCACUUUGAAGCACAAUUGAUAGUGUCGUGUUGAGCGUUCAAGGCUUAUAGAUGAAAGGAUAGUGUUCAAAUCCAGAUCCAGGCGGCGGCGGGUGGACAUAAACAGAAUUUUGUGUUUUUACAACUUAUUCCAAGAAUAACAACAACUGUGUAUCGUUUUAAACUAGCAAUAAUAAAACUUAGAGAAUAUAGAAAUACAUAUAAAAACAAAAGAAAAAGAAAAAAAAAACGAGAGAAACCUUGUUUCAACAAUUAAUUAUAUAUGAAAACAGCAUCCAUGGACAAACUAAAUUUAUUCCAUUCAAAGAUUCAUACAAAGUAUCCAACAAUACACACCCCGCUCCCCUCAGUCCCACCAUCUCCUCACACACGAUUAAGCUUUUCCCCACUCCACACUGCUUCUUUUAACCUAAUAAAAACAGCACAUUUAUCAUUAUAAUUAGCGUUCCUAUGGCAACGCAUCGCAACCGAAAAGUUGUGGUACUGGCACGCUUCAGUAACCGGUGAAAAUUCAAUGCUCGCCCAGUGCUCCCGCUACUACCACCACCACACCUCAUCCGGGGCUCUCUUUUACAUCAUUAGCAGCUCUCCUGGUUGUAAGGGAGAGGAGCACGUCUGGUUGGUGUGCGCGAAUAAAUUCGAUGAUUAAUUAAAUGUCUCAUUCAAAACUUCCCACACCGCACACGUUUUUGCCAAGAGCCGUCGUUGUCGUCGCCACCGCCACCUCGCUUUUCACACCCGAUCCCGUGUGACGGUGGUGGGUUGAUACGCUAAAAGGUGCGUUUUGAUCCUCGUCAUUCCCCUUUGGAAAGGGUCCAUAUUUUCCAGCAACCAGCUCGGAAGAUGAAUACUCUUCUUCUGUCCGCAUCUCCUCUCUUUAGAGGGCAGAGAAGGGUUUUCGGGUGAGCAUUUUUGCCCAGCUUGGUUGCGAGCAUCUUGUCCCCCUCCUAACCCCACCACUUCCUUUUCGCAACCACUCGCUCGAGAGCCUACAGUGCGGGCAUUGCCGGGUUCAGCAAGCAGCGCCGAAACAUUUCCAAGAAACUCUUUCAUUGCCCGAGAAAAGGACACGCCAACAGCGGACUCUUCAAACCGGCAUCCUUCUUGUCAUCGACAUUGUCCCUGUGUGUGUGUGUGUGUCUCCCAAAAUCCUUUUAGCAUCAUAUGCAACGAACCUGACCUCACCCCGUCGUUUUCCAGCAUCCCAGCUUUGCUCGUUCUCGUUCUUUCGCCAGCUGUUUCUAGCUCCGAAAGGAUGACAAGGUUUUUCCAGCUAAUUCAUCCUUAAGCAGUGAGACGCACACACACACACACACCGUUGAAGAAGUGGUACAGCAGCAACAACAAAAAUAAAAACGCUUAUCUUGAAGCUUCAGAUGACAAGUCCACUUUACCGUGAACAUUCGAAUAGCGCAUGGCGGCUCCAACCAGAGCAGAGAGAGGAGGAGCUCGCUGCACAAGGUGAGCGAAAUUAGUCAGCGAAUGCGAUGUAACAUUCGAAUUGCUUCUAGAACACAACGAAACGGACCCACACAUACACUCGAACACUUUUUGCUCUUGCAAGCUGCUGGCCCCCCUAAUCCACCCAAAACGAUACGCCGCUGAUGCUUCACACACAUCUCGCCACAGCAUUUCCUUCAGCAUUUCCUUUGAAUUCGGAAUUAUUUAGACUAUUUUCUCCUCGCCUCAAGAACUCAUCAAAGUCUUGCGUCAGAACCGAACAAUUUCCCUUCGCCUAAAAAAAAAGGAAAGAAACAAAAAAUAGACAAGCAAGAAAAUCAAACGAAAGCUGUCAAGAGCUACUACGACGGGCCUCGGUGUUUUCCGGCCUCUUUAUGCGAACACACCAUCAUCAUGCGUACCGGGAGGAGCAUGCCGCAUCGCGUCCCAGGCAAGCAGGGCCUAGGUUAGGGUUUUGGCGGACCAAAAAAAGCAGAUGGAUGGUUACACGGCAGGCGCAACGGAAAAGUGGCAGCCCUUCAACAACAACAAACCAAACCAAAAAAAAAAACAAGCUCCAAGCGAAAGAGAAAGAUUAGAUUUCACUUUCUCUUCGCAGUGGCGAAAGAACCUGUGGAAGGAAAGCUUUUCCGAUCCUGCCGCCGUCGCCGCUGUCGUCUUACAAUAAGAAGCAAAAAGGGCAUACGGUGGUUGUUCCUUUCUCCCGCUCGCUUUCUCUCUCUAUCUCUCUCUCUAUUUCCAGCAUGCUCCACUUUAGUGCGAGUAAAAUUUCAUGCUUCACAAAAAGAGAGUCGUACCGAACUCUGGGUAGGUAGUAAGCCCCCAUUCCCCCAUCCAAAAAAAACCCCAAACACAAGAGAGCCACCGCACCAUCAGCGCCGGCCCGAGCGGUCCUGUGCUUUACGCAAUAUUGCCGUUUCAAGUGCACGAUUUUGAAUGGCAUUCCAAGAAUUCGCUAAUACAAGGUCGAAAACCUGUAUCAAGAUAUUCCCGGGACCGACGAGGGCUUUCGGAAAAUGAGCCCCUGCUGCCUGCGAGCGAGGCGAAGAAAUAGAAACGGCAGCCUCGGGCGGGGUCGAAAGCAGCUCCCUCGGUCGAACCGUUUUGGUUUGGGCUAGGACACGUGUGUGUGUGUGUGCGUGUGUUUGCUGCUGUUGCUUCUAGGAUCUUUAUUCCCGGGACGGCGUGCGUCUAUACCUCUCCUGUGCCUUGUGGUAGCAGCGGCAGCAGAAGUCGGGCAGUAGUCGAACAGUUAGCAACGCUUACUGCUAUCGAUGUCCAAACUGCAACGAACUCUGUUUAUCUUCACUAUUAAUUUCAGAGGUUGUUUUAUUCUUCUUCUGAGGCUCCUGAACUGAGACGAACGCAGGGAUGUAGUGGUGUACCAGAAUGCCGGUAAAGGAGCGCGUGGCUGUGCGGCAUUAUCUAACCGGAUCAUCCCGGGCGCAUGUUUUGGGCAAGAGCAAAGAAUGCGAGUGAAGAAGAAUCGGUCGAUCGAGCUAGGACGUGAUUGAACGAUGAUACGGUUGUGAUAGGUUCGCGCGACAAAGCUCGCCUUCAAUUGGGCCCCUAAAUGCCGAUGCCAAUCUAGGGUCCCGGUAUCUGGAGUACCUUCACUUCUAUUGAUGCAAGCGACACACGAGUGCGCUGCGAUAAUGAUGCGGUGGUGGAAAUCUUUGAACACUCUUCCUCCCUUGGAAGCGACAAGCAGGCCGGGAAGAAUUGUUAUUGUUACAAGAUCAGCUAAACAUAAUUCCUGGACCGAGAGAGAAGGCGAGCGCGCGCACACUCUCAUCUAAUUUCAUAAUGCUCCAUCAACUACUAGUAGAGCACGGUGCGACGGAGGAGGAGGAAGUAAAGCAAGCGAAAUCGCAAUACAGUUCCAGGAAAAGGUAGAUAGCGUGGGGCAAUGGAAGAAUAAUGGAACACAGAAAGUGCUUGCGCUUGGAUAAAUUCGGGAAAUGCCUCCACGAAAUCCCAUGCUUCCUGUUUACACAAAAGAGCUUUACCGGGGAUGUUUCCUUUUUUUGGAAGGGGAAUAUUGGCAAGGAUUGAUUACUCCAUUCUUUUUGCGAUACGCUAUUGUAGCUAGAGGGAUAUUAAGCUCUGUUUUUUUGUGAGGCAGCGAAAUCCUUUCGAUAUCUUCCGAGAGGAUGCGAACAUUUGGAAGAUUAGGUAAUUAUCUUCACAGAUGGACAAUAAAGAUGUUGAAGUUGUGCGGGUAUCAAAUCAGUUAAGUGAAUCAUGCAUUAAUUAGGAAACAGAGGAAGAGGAAUGAUUACUCAAUGAUAGACCCAAUUAUUUCAAUCACCAUUUUAAUUGAGGCAUAUAAAAAGGUUAUCCACCGCGUGAGUAUCAGGACAACGCUUUCGGGAGCGUUUUUGGAGAAUUUUUUACGCGUAUCUCGAUUCAAUGGCAACGUCAGACGUUAUCUCUUGUAUGAGAAUCUCUGUAUAGUCUGUAUAUAUGCAUAGAAUGGUGUCUUACCGUUUUUGAUCCACUAACAGGAUAGUUAGAUUAGUCAGAUGAUAAAUCUAGAUCAGUUUUGUACAGGGAAUCAGCAAUUCUAUACAUAAAACUGCAAAGUCAAUGCAAAUAAUAAUCCACUAACCAUAAGUCUUACGAAAUCAAAUAGAAAACGGAAACAUACAGACAGUAUUAUUUAAACAUACAUCAAACAGGUUGAAUUAUUCCUAGAUUUAAAGAAUAGAAAGAUACCAUACAGAAAAAGUAUAAAUUUUUAGCGCAAUUUCUUAGUAUCGAUUCGACUUCGAUUAUCGAUCUUGGAUAUAUCAAUGAUAAGUCAGAAUAUUUUAUUCAAGCAUAAGUUAUUCAUGCAAUGCAGCUUCUAACCAUCUACACUGGAUUGGAUUAUAAUAUCUUCUUCUUUUCCUUCUUUUAUUUGGCGUAAUGUCCUACGCGGACAUGCCGGCCUAUACCAUUGCGAGACCACGCAGCCGGAUAUAGUCAAGUGCUUGCUACGGGGGAACGAUCCAUUCUAGGCUUGAACCCAUGACGGGGAUGUUAUUGAGUCGUUCGAGUUGAAGACUGUACCACGGUACCGCCCCGCUAACUUGAUAUUCUAGCCCUUAAUACGUUCAUUCAACUUCUGCAUGCACUGUUCAAAGGGAAACCCCCAUUCUAUUUGUAUUUUUUGUUGCAAGAUCCAGGAAAAAAACAAAAAAUAAAUGUGAUGAAAAUUAUGCAAAAAAAAAAACAAUGAAAAUGAACCCAUUUAUAUAAUUAACAAUUACAUAACAGCACCUAGGACAACGUCAGGAAACAGGUAACCUUCAGAAUGCACUUCACAGCGUAGCAAAAGCUGCUAAUGCACCUCCCAUUCGCCCCGAACGCCCAUCUCCGUAAACAAACACGCCACACACCACAUACUGCACACACAGAGAAGUUGUGCAUAUUAGUUGCAACAAUGUUGCAAUAAACCCGCGCGGCGUAUCAAACUACCGUGCACGGUGAGGCGCGCAGCAAUCCAACUUGUUGACGCCGAGUUGAUGAUAAUUAAUCAACGAUAAUAAACAGCAGAAUCUUGCCACCCAAUCGCUGCUGCCGGUUUACGUGCGCAUGAACACUGGAGGGGUGGGAAUCCGUUUUUCUCCCACCGUCCCGUAGCACAAUAGGGGUGUGAUGGGUACGUGCCAGGAGCUCGUCCGGUUCCAGCAACGAUUACAGAGCGAUCACACGAUCAACCGCGUUGUCGCCACACCCCACCUUUGCUACCUGUUGGACGAGCAGGAGCGCCAGGUAAAUAGAAGUUUGAAGCAAUCGUUCGCUCCCCUUAAUCCUUGGAGGAAAAUGGACCACUACACCACACCAACGGAACAUUUGCUAUCAGCUCGCAUCCCCUCCGCUUGAGCAAUUAGUGUACGACCAGAGGAGGAACAGGAAAGAGAGAAGGACCGUUUUGAUUGCAGUUGAACCGCAAGUUGCAUGAAACAACGGUGUGUCGAUAAGGGCCGGGCGUCUUCGAGGAUGAUUGAGUGGCCACCGAUCAAGUUCAAUACGCGAACUCGCGGACAAAGCACCGGGACGGAGUGAGAGACAAGUGGUGUACCAAACAAAACACAACAUAGAGUGCUGCAGUUUGAUAUUCUCAAGUGCAAGUGCAAGAUUGUAGUGCACCCUCCAGCUCGCCGGGGCGCGGACUAGUUUCCUUUUAUUGCUGCUAAGAGCGUUGGAUUAGCAGCGCUAAAUAUACUUUCCCUUGCAGGCUGGCUCUCGAAUCAACCCCUCCCGGAAAACACAUACAGACUCGGGAGCUGAUUGCUCGGUCACUUGUUCCUGGUGCAGCUUGGUGCCGUGCCGAUCACGUGUCACGGACAAGCCAAGAAGUAGGGAAAACAAAAAACAAACGGCCCGCAACGGAACGCGGCUUCUACCGCCGUCGUCGCUUUGCACGGCGUUUGGGUCAGCAAAUCUACCCCCGGGCACAAUCGCGCCCACCCAUCACGGCACACCACCUUGCUGCUACUGCGCAGUUUUUCCACACCGAAACCGUGAAGUGGCCAAUCGCCAAACACAAUGGUAACACUAAUUACUGCUUAUUACAUUUACAUUUGCCUGCGGGAAAAGCUGAUAAUGGGUUUGACCAGGGGCAAGCUGGGUGGUUGUGGUAGGGGAGUAGUGUUUUGGCAUGGCGUGUCCAACACGUACCCAAUGCCACCCAGGCGCGAGAGGAUCCCGAUGACGCGCGUUUGCCUGCUGUUCCGGAUGAUCGGGCGCGCGUCCGCACCAAUGGGGGAAUGUGGAUUGUUGUAAAUUAUUUCAAUCCUUUAAUUUACUGCAUUGCUUCCAGCUACGUGCCAUUUUUCAUCUCUCACUCUCUGUGAGUUGUGUGAGUGUGUUCACUUGUUGCAGUUUCUUCGCACACCGUAAAUUGCACCCACUCUCCCGGGAGGAAACAUUGUAAAUAUGCAAAUAAUUACUGGACAAACAGCACAACAAGAGUUACAACACAGAGACGCAACAGCAAAUUGCCGAGUCUCCUCCACCAAACCACUGUAUUCGUGUGUGUGUGUGUCCAUUUGUGUUUACCAAUAUUUAAGCCUGGAAUCCCUUUUACAAGCGGUACGGAAAUAGCUGCAACAGUGUGCAUUUAAAUGGGAAUGUUUGUGUGACCAUUCAAUUGAAUGUGGCUGGCUAUUGCAUCCCCUGGGCAGAGGAAAAGCAAGUAGCGAGAAGUGGGAGGGAAAGGGAGAGAGUCAACCACAAAUGGAGUAGAUAAAAGUGAAGAAAACCACGAUGUAAACACAGCCCCGCUUCGGUAAUGCGACUGCGACAGGAUACUGAAACGUUUAGUUUAUGUCCACGCUGGAACCGUCCAACCAGAGUUGACCAUCCUUGCCGGUCGGUGGUAGUGUGGAGAGGAUAGUUGCAUCGUGCGAGUGUGUGAUAUUUCAUGGGAAAAUUCAUUUUCAAAGGGUUUGCUAGGUGGAACAGGUAGGGCCAGCCAGAAGGGUCAUAACAAGCUUACAAUGUAUCGCAUUGGAAAUGGAAUGGGAAAUGGAAUAUCGCAUUUCAGUACACACGUAUGCACUAGCAAUUUGCGGGACGUGGAAACUACUGAACCCUUUUUUUUAUCAAAUUAUAAACAGGUUAUUUUAAGUUGCUUAUUUGUGUGACUCAUAUUUUGCUUCUUUCGAGGAUGAAAUGCAUAUAAUGAAACGCUUGUUUGUCAUGAACUUGCCGAAUCACAUUAACUUUUAACACAUCAUCGGGAAAGCCGACGCAUGGUGUAGUGCAAAGCUCGCAGCCUUGCGCAAUGAGGGUCGUGUAUUCAAAUCUCAUCAUAAUCCGAUUGGCUUUUGACACUAGAUCAAUCUUAUUUAACAGUCAUCGGACGUGUGGAAAAGCACAUUUUAACCGACUGUAAUUCUAUUAAACAGCACCAACAAAUCUCCAACCCUACGGUGUGUCAAGAGGCGCACUCAUCUCAUCAACAACCACCAACGAACUUUCCAAUAAUAAGCACAUCUAGAGCAAAAAAAAACCGGACAAGGGAUGGAAAUGAAUUGAUCCAUUUGUUUACACUUUUAUAAUUCCCAGCUCUCUUAUCCUCUGCACGUCGCUGAUCGGGCCAAACAGCAGAGAGUGAACGCUUCCUGCAAAGCGCGCUUUAUUCCUUAUCAGUUGGAUUAAAGACUUCAUUUAGAAAAGAGAUAAAACUCCAGUAUAUUCCAACCGACUUUCUACCUGACAACCGGAAGAACCUGUGUCACCCACUGUCCACAAGCUCUCUAGGGAUAGAAAUGCGGGGGGGGGGGGGGAA